rnacentral:rRNA from 1 species
AUUGAACGCUGGCGGCAGGCCUAACACAUGCAAGUCGAGCGGAUGACGGGAGCUUGCUCCUGGAUUCAGCGGCGGACGGGUGAGUAAUGCCUAGGAAUCUGCCUGGUAGUGGGGGACAACGUUUCGAAAGGAACGCUAAUACCGCAUACGUCCUACGGGAGAAAGCAGGGGACCUUCGGGCCUUGCGCUAUCAGAUGAGCCUAGGUCGGAUUAGCUAGUUGGUGAGGUAAUGGCUCACCAAGGCGACGAUCCGUAACUGGUCUGAGAGGAUGAUCAGUCACACUGGAACUGAGACACGGUCCAGACUCCUACGGGAGGCAGCAGUGGGGAAUAUUGGACAAUGGGCGAAAGCCUGAUCCAGCCAUGCCGCGUGUGUGAAGAAGGUCUUCGGAUUGUAAAGCACUUUAAGUUGGGAGGAAGGGUUGUAGAUUAAUACUCUAGGAUAGUGGACGUUACUCGCAGAAUAAGCACCGGCUAACUCUGUGCCAGCAGCCGCAGUAAGAC